rnacentral:lncRNA from 1 species
AUGCGCUGGCUCUCUCUCCAAAACAGAUCCAGCAUCCACUUCUCACCACUGGCGCUUCAUGGCAGUUCAGUAAUUGCCUGCAGUAGUCUUCCUCACAGUCAUGCAGGUGUGAAAACAAACAGCAGCCCCAGAGCUAACUCCCUCAGCUUCCUCCCGCACCGUCCUCCUGGGCAGAGCCCUGCGGAAAGCCGCGCAAGCGAGCAAGGCCGUUGGACAGCGCGUGACCCACACCAGCCCCGCCGCACACUGCCCCGAACCGAAGUCCUUUCCACCGGGACGGAGACGUGGAAGUGGCUUGACCUAUGGCAACGCGGAAGCCCCAGCUGGUGGGAUGGAACAAAAAAGUGAGCUUUGGAGUGGACUACUCACUAGAGCAGGAAGAAAAAGCACUUCUCUGUGGAAACAAGUUUGUUCCUAUGCGGGCAGCAGGGUAGGAAUGGCCUUGUGGAUUCCGUCCCUCAACACUGAUGAACUGUGACGUCAGGGGCCUGGGAGGACCUCCAGCUGUUCCACCUACGCUGGCUCCUGGAGGGCACGAUCCCCUUCAGGAAGUCGAAGGAGCCCAAACAGGAUG